ensembl:lncRNA
UUACGCACAGCAAGGUAGAAAUACUUCCGGGAUUUGAAUGUAGUUUUGAUAUUUUGUUUUACAUUUCCGGUUUUCAGAAAAGUUCCAAUUGUACUUUUGUCCCAAAGUCUCUAAUAGUUUCCUGGCGCAGUUUUACAUUGAUCUAGAGAUUAAAUCCAAAGAAAACGGACGAAGAAAUACACCUGAAAGACCUAGAAGAAAGAAAGGAAGGAUGAUGGUGGAGGGGGAGAACCAGAGAGGGGAGACCCUCAUACCCAGCGAGGGAGAGGGGUCUGGUGGACAGGAGGCCAUCCACAUGAAGGAGUCCGUUGUCGAGGACAACACAGAACCCGAUGAGGGUUCACGGAAGCCAACCACAGGACCAGUGGUUGUCACGGGAAACCAGAAAAUGCCCGCCAUCGAGAAACUGGAACAGGUUCGCAAAUGGAGCAUCACUACUUAUAAGUGUACUAAGCAGGUUCUGUCAGAGAAGAUGGGUCGUGGAUCCCGUACGGUCGACCCAGAACUCGAGGCCCGCAUCGACAUUCUCCGUGAUGACCGCCGCCGUUAUGAUCACGUGACCUGCCUGGCCCAGACACUCGCCACGCAGCUCGCCCAGGUCACACAGACGCAAAGGACUCUGGGCGAUGCCUUCACCGAGCUCAGCCUCAAAACGCCGCCACUACACGUAGAGUUUGGUCUGAACGGGGACACCCAGCGGUUCCUGUCGAAGAGCGGAGAGGUCAUGGUCUCGGCUGUGAACUCUUUCACCUCCGAUAUGAACACACUGGUGAACAAAACUAUAGAGGACACCAUGGUUAACGUGAAACACUACGAGACAGCCAGGAUAGAGUACGAUGCGUACCGUUGUGACCUGGAGGACUUGAACCUGGGACCUCGAGACACCGCCACCCUCCCCAAACUAGAGCAGGCCCAGAGAACCUUCCAGAACCAGAGAGAGAAGUAUGAGAAGAGCCGAAACGACCUGUCAGUCAAACUCAAACUACUGGAGGAGAAUAAGGUAAAGGUUCUCCAGCAUCAGUUGGUAUUGUUCCAUGGUGCUGUAGCCUCCAACAGCACCUCCAACCACCAGCACCUGGAGCUCAGCCUGCAGCAGGCAAGCACCAAGCUACCCAUGCCUGGCACGGAGCCUCCUUCCUGGCUAGAGGAGAGCUCAUCACCCCAAUAACCAUCCACCAUGUCUGGGGGCCCAUGAAACCUUCCAGUAUCUUAAUGCAAGUUGGGGCCUCUCAACUGCCACAUCUGUGGGCCAAAACAGAGGGUAUUGUCGACAUUCCUGUUCUCUUAUCCUAUAGGGCCUAUAGGUUCUCCUCUUACCCUAUAGGUUCUCCUCUUGCCCUAUAGGUCCUAUAGGUUCUUCUCUUACCUCAUAGGUUCUUCUCUUACCUCAUAGGUUCUUCUCUUACCUCAUAGGUUCUUCUCUUACCUCAUAGGUUCUUCUCUUACCUCAUAGGUUCUUCUCUUACCGUAUAGGUUCUUCUCUUACCCUAUAGGUUCUUCUCUUACCCUAUAGGUCCUCCUCUUACCCUAUAUGUCCUAUAGGUUCUCCUCUUACCCUAUAGGUUAUUCUCUUACCCUAUAGGUUCUCCUCUUACCCAAUAGAUCCUAUAGGUUCUCCUCUUACCCUAUAGGUUCUCCUCUUACCCUAUAGGACCUAUAGGUUCUCCUCUUACCCUAUAGGUCCUAUAGGUUCUCCUCUUACUCUAUAGGUCCUAUAGGUUCUCCUCUUACCCUAUAGGUCCUAUAGGUUCUCCUCUUACCCUACAGAUUCUCCUCUUACCCUAUAGAUCCUAUAGGUUAUUCUCUUACCCUAUAGGUUCUCCUCUUACCCAAUAGAUCCUAUAGGUUAUUCUCUUACCCUAUAGGUUAUUCUCUUACCCUAUAGGUUCUCCUCUUACCCUAUAGGUUCUCCUCUUACCCUAUAGGUCCUCCUCUUACCCUAUAGGUCCUCCUCUUACCCUAUAUGUCCUAUAGGUUCUCCUCUUACCCUAUAGGUUAUUCUCUUACCCUAUAGGUUCUCCUCUUACCCAAUAGAUCCUAUAGGUUCUCCUCUUACCCUAUAGGUUCUCCUCUUACCCUAUAGGUUCUCCUCUUACCCUAUAGGUUCUCCUCUUACCCUAUAGGACCUAUAGGUUCUCCUCUUACUCUAUAGGUCCUAUAGGUUCUCCUCUUACCCUAUAGGUCCUAUAGGUUCUCCUCUUGUCCUAUAGGUUCUCCUCUUACCCUAUAGGUCCUAUAGGUUCUCCUCUUACCCUAUAGGUCCUAUAGGUUCUCCUCUUACCCUAUAGGUUCUCCUCUUACCCUAUAGGUUCUCCUCUUACCCUAUAGGUCCUAUAGGUUCUCCUCUUACCCUAUAGGUUCUCCUCUUACCCUACAGAUUCUCCUCUUACCCUAUAGAUCCUAUAGGUUAUUCUCUUACCCUAUAGGUGACCUGACAAUAGACUGUUGUUCACUCUGUUUCUGCUACUUGUAUACAGUGGUGUGACCUGACUAUAGACUGUUGUUCACUCUGUUUCUCCUAUUCACUGACUGUAUAGGAGUUCUGUUUGGCAGUAGCAUUGUUACUAUCACAGCAUUUGUGUUAUUAUUAUGUAUACAGUAUGUACAGUUCUCCUGUAUUGACUAAUGCUGUGUCCAAAAUGUCACCCUGUUCCCUACGUCGUUCACUACCUUUGGAGCUCUAUAAAGGGAAGUGCGUAGCAUGUGGGGACGCAGCCUACAACUAAAGGACCAAACUAACAUGCAGUGCUGAGAUAUGGAACCAAAGCCAGAGACUGUAGAAUGUUUGAGACCGUUAGAACCUUUUACACUCUAGAACCUUCUUGGACUUUAUAAGGAUCUUUUAGAUUCCUACCAGAAUCAACUGAGCAAAAAUGUACAAAAUACGCACAAAACAAUUUCAAAGAUUUUACCGAGUUGCAAUUCAUAUAAAGGAAAUCAGUCGACGUAAAUCAAUUCAUUAGGUCCCUAAUCUAUGGAUUUCACAUGACUGUACAGGGGUGCAGCCGUGGAGGGCAUAGGCCCACAGAAAUACUCCCCCCUCCCCGAUCCUACAGGUGAUGUAGCCAGAUGUGAGGUCCUGGGUUGUCGUGGUUACAUGUGGUCUGCAGUUGUGAGGCCGGUUGGACGUACUGCCAGAUUCUCUAAAACAACAUUGGAGGUGGCUUAUAGUAGAGAAAUGAACAUUCAAUUAUCUGGCAACAACUAUGGUGGACAUUCCUGCUAUCAACAUGCCAAUUACACUCUCCCUCAACUUGAGACAUCUGUAGCAUUUUAGUGGCCUUUUAGUGUCCCCGGCACAAGGUGCACCUAUGUACUGAUCAUGCUGUUUUUAAUCAGAUUCUUGAUUAUGCCACACCUGUCAGGUGGAUGGAUUAUCUUGACAAAGGAGAAAAUACUCACUAACAGGGAUGUCAACACAUUGGUGCACAACAUUUGGGAGAAAUAAGCUUAUUGUGUGUACGGAACAACAGCUCAUGAAAACUUGGGACCAACACUUUUUUCCGUUUUUGUGUUUUGUAUUUUUGUUCGGUGUAAUUCCAAACGCAUCUUUUGCACUUGUCUAUCUACCAAAAAUAACAAUUGUGUAUAAUUGAAUAUAAACGCAAUUUAAUGCCAAAUAUCGAGAUCAACAUUUAUUCUUUGUGUAUAACGUACGUGUUUUUGAUUCUUUUAAAAUAGGAAAUUCAAAAAGCACUCGCACAUCUUCGUUAUCUUCGUUGCAGGUGCAUGAUAACGGUUGAAUAAAACGAGACAAAAAAGGAGAAGCCUACA